rnacentral:lncRNA from 1 species
GACUAAAGAAAAGCUUAAGGAAUGAUAUCAUUAGCAAAUGCAAAUAUGUUAAUUCACAUAAAAAGAUAAGGCUUAAAAAGUCCAACCUGUCAUAUGUAAAAUUAUUUUAAUGACAUAUUCAAGAAGAAUCUGGAGAUUAUGCUGCCAAGAAGGCAAUACUUUUAAGGCAAUCUUACAAAGUAUAUGAAAUCACAGACUGUAAUAUCCUGCAACUAUUUUAAUUUUAAAAGCUCAGUUUACAAAUAUAUACCAAUAUUUUUCUCACUUUUAAUCACUCCCCCACUGUUUUAGCAUAAGAGCUAAAAUAACCUAAAACUGCCCCUUAAAACACACACAGCAAGUCUGUUACACAGAUCGAGAAAACAAAAAAUGUAUGAAGGAAAGAAUGUUUUAAAUAAUCUGAAACAGAGUAGCAAAAAAAUGUGUGGUUUCUAGGUUUCAGCUACUAUUAAAGAAUUUUCCUGGGAGAAUUUUACUUUAAAGCAACUCUAAAUGAAAAUGCAUAUAAUUAAGGGAAAGACCAUUGCUUCAAACAGAUUGACUGUCUUUAACAAGUUUCUCUCUUUCUAGCUACUCAGAUAUGCUAUAUUUCCUAAUUAUCACCUUUUAAGGGCCAUCUGGGCCCAUUCCUCCCCAUCAGGGGGCAAUUCCAUUUGCAUUGUUCCUGGGUUUAGUCAUGAUCAAGUAGUCUGGUGGUAAAGUUCAUUAGAAAUUAGAACAGAAGCAGUUAACCCAACACAGUAAACCAAGUAUCUGAUGCUUAGGCACCCACAGGAGAGACGUAAGCCCUCCCUACCUAUUCUCACAUAACUAACAAGUCUGCCAUGUGCAUUUUAUCAAAUUGCUUAAAGAAACAUUCAGCUAGUCCCUGGCCAGGUAUGUAAUGAAAAUUUGAUUAAGCCUCCUCAUACUGCAAAAUAUUUCUCAAUUAAAGCAACGUAACGAUAGUCCCUUAUGUCUUCUGGUUCCAAAGUCUAUUAAAAACCCUUUAAUGAUUCCCUUAUUUAGCCUACCAUUCACAAGCAGUAU